rnacentral:rRNA from 1 species
UACAGGAGGGUGCGAGCGUUAAUCGGAAUUACUGGGCGUAAAGCGCGCGUAGACGGUUUUGUAAGUCAGAUGUGAAAUCCCUGGGCUCAACCUGGGAACUGCAUUUGAAACUGCAUGGCUAGAGUAUGGAAGAGGGAAGUGGAAUUUCCGGUGUAGCGGUGAAAUGCGUAGAGAUCGGAAAGAACACCAACGGCGAAAGCACUCUGCUGGGCCGACACUGACACUGAGAGACGAAAGCUAGGGGAGCGAAUGGG